rnacentral:rRNA from 1 species
ACGUAGGGUCCAAGCGCUGUCCGGAAUUAUUGGGCGUAAAGGGCUCGUAGGCGGCCUGUCGCGUCUGGUGUGAAAGCCCGUGGCUUAACUGCGGGUCUGCGCUGGAUACGGGCGGGCUAGAGUGCGGUAGGGGAGAAUGGAAUUCCCGGUGUAACGGCGGAAUGUGUAGAUAUCGGGAAGAACACCAAUGGCGAAGGCAGUUCUCUGGGCCGUGACUGACGCUGAGGAGCGAAAGCGUGGGGAGCGAACAGGAUUAGAUACCCUGGUAGUCCACGCUGUAAACGGUGGACGCUGGAUGUGGGGCCCAUUCCACGGGUUCCGUGUCGGAGCUAACGCGUUAAGCGUCCCGCCUGGGGAGUACGGCCGCAAGGCUA